rnacentral:rRNA from 1 species
UAGAGUUUGAUCCUGGCUCAGGACGAACGCUGGCGGCGUGCCUAAUACAUGCAAGUCGAGCGCAGGAAACCGUCUGAACCCUUCGGGGGGACGACGGCGGAAUGAGCGGCGGACGGGUGAGUAACACGUAAAGAACCUGCCCAUAGGUCUGGGAUAACCACGAGAAAUCGGGGCUAAUACCGGAUGUGUCAUCGGACCGCAUGGUCCGUUGAUGAAAGGCGCUUCGGCGUCGCCCAUGGAUGGCUUUGCGGUGCAUUAGCUAGUUGGUGGGGUAACGGCCCACCAAGGCGACGAUGCAUAGCCGACCUGAGAGGGUGAUCGGCCACACUGGGACUGAGACACGGCCCAGACUCCUACGGGAGGCAGCAGUAGGGAAUCUUCCACAAUGGACGAAAGUCUGAUGGAGCAACGCCGCGUGAACGAUGAAGGCUUUCGGGUCGUAAAGUUCUGUUGUAAGGGAAGAACAAGUGCCG